rnacentral:misc_RNA from 1 species
UCCAACACCUGCUCCUACUCCAUCAUUGGCACAACAAAGUGAGGGCAGAUGGGCCUUGCAGAUGCAAAAGUAGCACCGAGGCCGCCCCAUGCAGAGAAUGAUUUGGCUUCAUCAGCAGACUAGUGAUCAAUAAGACCAAAACAUGGUGUGAAAAAAAUCUACAGAGGUACAAAAUUAGUUUAUCAUCUGUUGGCAUCAGAUUGGACCACCAUCAUCUUGAUUGAAAAUGCUCACUGCAGCUUCACGGGUAUGAGUUCAAUUAAACUGGGAUAACUUCAAGGCAUAGGUCUUGUUUCUUGUCCAGACUAGUUUAUAAAAUCUAGUAGCUGCGUACCUGUGUUUUUGUUGGAAAAUUUAUAUGGGAGGGAAAGUAGCAAAGCCUGCACAUAAUCUUACCAGUUGUGAUGAUUUUAUUAUGGAAGAUGGAAAUAAUGCCCAAUAAACUGAAGACUGCAGCUUAGCAAAUCCAGCUCAUAGACAUCAUGAACUGCAUCUUGGGCCUAAACUGAAAUAACGACUUGAAAAUCUGAAGUAGAAUCGCCAGAAACUAUCUUAAGAUUCUGCCCACCCUGUAUGGUUAAAUGAACAACCUGUGAUCAAAGAAGGUUCUAAUACCGAGAGUUUUAAAUCUCGCAAUGAGAGAAUAUACAUGAGAAUGACAUAAUGAUCUUUAGAGGCCUUCCACCAUUAUUCUUCAAGCAGCUUUAUCCAUUGAGAUACUCCAAAUGGCUCUUGGUUUUCUUUAAAUUCAGGCUUUUAGUUGUGCUAAGAUGUAGAUUAGAAUUCUAUGGUUUCGUUGCAGAAUGUGACGCCAAGGGGGAAGAUGGUUUCCAGCAUAAUAAAAUUGCUAUAAAGUGCUAACAACAACAUCGACAGAGGAUAAUUUAAAAGAAUUCAAUACAACUUAGUAAAG